GGAAGAAGCGUGUGAUGACAGAUGACAGUCACCAAAACAAAACAUCUGCAGUUUGUUUUAAAUACAUAAUUUACAGAUGACAGCUUAGCGACAGACUCUUAAUGUGUUUAAACAGCACAUAUUCCAGCUCAACAGCAGAUUAAAGCAGCAGAAUCUGCGAUCAAGUGCAGGAAUCGACUGAAGAGACUCACCUGUUGUGUUUGGACUGUACAGCCAAGAGAAACGGAGCUCUGGGACAUUUGACAGCCAUGGACUGUAAGGACGGACGUCUGCUGCUGGACAGGGUCCCUCUUGUGGUCAUCAAGUGUAUCGAUCUUCAAGCAGAAGUGGCUGUCUGCUUUGCUCUGCUGCAGGCAAAAGCAGAAGCCCGUCUGGACACAGUUCUAGUGCUCAGGGGAGACACCCGUCUCGUUCUCAAACACACCACAGCAUUCACUCAUUGUGGAGAUGGGAAGUCUGUACCGUAAAGCCAGAUUAGUGGCUAGCCAGUUCAGUUUCAGUUUAGUUUGCACCAAUUCUUGGUUUUAGGUUCCAUAAAGGAGCUCAGCUCAUCUCGGCUGCUCCAUGAUAUCAAGACAAUAAAGAGUGAUUGAAGUCCA